GAUGAACGCUGGCGGCGUGCCUAAUACAUGCAAGUCGAGCGAACAGACGAGGAGCUUGCUCCUCUGACGUUAGCGGCGGACGGGUGAGUAACACGUGGAUAACCUACCUAUAAGACUGGGAUAACUUCGGGAAACCGGAGCUAAUACCGGAUAAUAUAUUGAACCGCAUGGUUCAAUAGUGAAAGACGGUUUUGCUGUCACUUAUAGCUGGAUCCGCGCGGCAUUAGCUAGUUGGUAAGGUAACGGCUUACCAAGGCAACGAUGCGUAGCCGACCUGAGAGGGUGAUCGGCCACACUGGAACGGAGACACGGUCCAGACUCCUACGGGAGGCAGCAGUAGGGAAUCUUCCGCAAUGGGCGAAAGCCUGACGGAGCAACGCCGCGUGAGUGAUGAAGGUCUUCGGAUCGUAAAACUCUGUUAUUAGGGAAGAACAAAUGUGUAAGUAACUAUGCACGUCUUGACGGUACCUAAUCAGAAAGCCACGGCUAACUACGUG
rnacentral:rRNA from 1 species